GCCGUGAGGUGUUGCCUUAAGUGGCGCAACGAGCGCAACCCCUGUCCUUAGUUGCCAGCGGAUCAUGCCGGGAACUCUAGGGAGACUGCCGGUGCCAAACCGGAGGAAGGUGGGGAUGACGUCAAGUCAGCAUGCCCCUUAUACCCAGGGCUGCACGCAUGCUACAAUGCGUGGUACAGAGGGCUGCGAUCCCGCAAGGGGGAGCGAAUCCCAAAAAGCCACGCUCAGUUCGGAUCGAGGUCUGCAACCCGACCUCGUGAAGUCGGAGUCGCUAGUAAUCGCAGAUCAGCAAUGCUGCGGUGAAUACGUUCCCGGGCCUUGUACACACCGCCCGUCACACCACGAAAGUGGGCAACACCCGAAGCCGGUGGCCUAACCGUAAGGAGGGAGCCGUCGAAGGUGGGGCUCGCGAUUGGGGUGAAGUCGUAACAAGGUAGCCGUACCGGAAGGUGCGGCUGGAUCACCUCCUUUCUAAGGAGCCUUUGGCAUCCCGGUGCGCGUGGACGACCGAUCCGCGCGCUGUAUCCCGGCAGACUCCAGGUCGAUAGCACUGGCCCCCGUCGGCAUCGACGGCGAGCUCGACGUUAGUACGCCCGCAAGGGAGUGGAACGCGCGAGUGAGCUCGGGACGCCGGCGGGCACACUGUUCAGCUUUGAGGGUGCGAAUCCUCGAGCACCUUGAGAACUCGAUAGCGAGCGCGAGCAUCUACAGUCAAGUUAUGAAGGGCUUACGGUGGAUGCCUUGGCGCCAGGAGCCGAUGAAGGACGCGUCAGGCUGCGAAAAGCUGCGGGGAGCCGCCGAGAGGGCUUUGAUCCGCAGGUGU
rnacentral:sRNA from 1 species